ACCUGUGAUGAUAUAUCCACAUUAUAGAGGCGCAGAGAGCUCCAAGUUCCCGUUUUGUGGGGAGAACCUACUUGGAGCUGUUGCAUUCAAAUGACAUCUCUGGAAUUUCUGAGGC